rnacentral:rRNA from 1 species
CCUACGGGCGGCAGCAGUAGGGAAUCUUCCACAAUGGGUGCAAACCUGAUGGAGCAAUGCCGCGUGAAUGAAGAAGGUCUUCGGAUCGUAAAGUUCUGUUAUUAGAGAAGAACAAGUUGAGGAGUAACUGCCUCAACCUUGACAGUAUCUAACCAGAAAGUCACGGCUAACUACGUGCCAGCAGCCGCGGUAAUACGUAGGUGACAAGCGUUGUCCGGAAUUAUUGGGCGUAAAGGGAGCGCAGGCGGUUGGAAUAGUCUGAUGUGAAAGCCCACGGCUUAACCGUGGAAGGUCAUUGGAAACUGUCCAACUUGAAUGCAGAAGAGGUAAGUGGAAUUCCAUGUGUAGCGGUGAAAUGCGUAGAUAUAUGGAGGAACACCAGUGGCGAAGGCGACUUACUGGUCUGUGAUUGACGCUGAGGCUCGAAAGCG